rnacentral:lncRNA from 1 species
UCGGCCUCCUUCUCCCCAACAUUCUCUUGUCCCAGUUCUGCUCUGCGGUCAAGAAGGGCCCCAGCUAGGCCCAGUCCAGAGGCCCCAGAUCCUCUCAAUGACCUCUGAGCCAGCCACAGCCCACCCAUCCAGUGAGAUUUAAUUGGUUUCAAUUGACAACCGUAACAAGAAGGCUCUUUUAGGAAACUUCGGAAAUGGAAGGGAGGCCAUUAGGAAAUUUACAUUUGCGAAUAUGAUGUUUAAUUAGCAAUACCAAUAAAUUAAUAGGAGAAUCUUGCUGCGGUUCUGGGUUCAUAAAACACCAGCCUCCGUCGGCAGAAGGAGACUGCGGCAGCCCUGGGCCGCCCGAGGGGAGAGGACGGUGCCGUGGGCCAGUCACGGAUGCCCUGCACCGGCCGCUCCCGCUCCCCUUGUGCCCCCAACUCAUCCUUGGAUGGAGUCGGGGCAGAAUGAAGCCAGUAUGGACCGUGGAACUGGGAGGGCCUGAGUCCGUGUCCUGGCUUACUUACUCCUUGGAGAGGUCCCUCAGCUUCUGAGCCUCCAGGUCCUUCUCUGUCAAAUGGGGGUAAUAAUAAUGAUAUCCACCUUCUAGGGUUGUUGUGAAGAUUAGAGGAAUGAAUGUGGGUGAAAGCACAUCGAACAGAAAGAAGCUGGCACAAACAGGCAUUCAGACGCAUUUGGAAGCAAACAGCUCUGACAGGUGCCUCCCCAGCUUGCAGACAGUCUGUGGCUUCCCACUGCUUUCAGGAUUUCGCUCGCGCAGACCCCACCCCCGCUGCGUGGUCUGGCCACCUCGUCUCCCACCUCCUCGGCCUCAGGCACCAUCUUCUGCCACCAAGCCAGGCUUCUCCCCUCCCAAGCCGAGCCGCCAGUUCCCUCCUGCCCCUAGGCCUCUGCCUGUGCCCCGCUCAUCUUGGAGUGCUCUUCUCUGGCUGGCACACUCCUCCUCCUCCGCCAAGACCCAGCCUUACAAAGCUCCCUCCGACCCCAAGCAAGAAUUAGAGUCAGCUGGGGGCCUGGGAAGCGGGCGGCCUUAUCCUCCUCCUCCCCACCACCACCACUGUGCCCAGCACUUGGGACAGGGACUUGCUGGUCACUCCCUCCAAAGAAGCUGGUGCCUGGACCCUGAGCCUGUUCUCUGGAGACUCAAACUACUCGCCUUCUGUGGAUCCUGGAAGACCCAUUCCACACCUCCUCGAAGGAAAGUCUUCCCUGGCUGUUUCUCCAGCUGCCGUGCUCCCACCUCCCUUGGUUCAUAUCUCCACCACUGUGUCUCCCCUUGCCUUGUAAUAAUUGGGCUGCUGGUACUCUCUCCCCCUAGGUCUUGGCUCAGAAUUGGGCCUUCUAUCUCUUGCCCUCUCCAGGAACAGAAACUGCUCUGCCUGAAUAGAUGAAUAAACAAAUGAGUAAAUUGGAAUGGGUUUAAAUGUUGCCUCCUCCAAGAAGUCCUCCCUGACCAUUCUAGCUCUAUUUAUAAUCAUUGCAUGUGUUUAUUGUCUGUCU